AUGUAAAUUCAAAUAUUUUCCCGCCUCUUAGCGUGUAUAUAGCGCCGACGUUUGGUUUUUAAAAUAACUUUUCGUUUAGCAUUCUGAUUAGAGUAUAGUCGUAGAUACAACGUGUAAGAUGUUGAUGAAGUACAUAUUUAAUAUUGCAUUCCAUUUGCGUUUUAGCUUAAUAAAAACGUUGCUAAAGUUGCUGGAACGAAUUCUGUGCUUACAAUUAGUGUAGGAAAUAAUACAAUUCUAUCAAAGGAGAUUUCAACUUUAAAUGUGGGUAUGUUCCAACUAUAAGAAUGACUAAGAAGCUUAGAACGAAAAACAAUAAGGAAUACAGAAUAAAAAUGAACGAAAAGAUAGAAAGAGGAAGUCACUGACAUCAAGAGAAGCUAAUAUACAUAUUUAAAUACAGUUUUAGAUUAGUAUCUUUAUUAAAUUUAUUAAAUUUGAAUUUUUUAAUGAAAUUAAAUCCAUGUUGGGUGAUUUGAAUGAAGGCUACUGUAAAUGUAUAGCUUGUCGCAAAACAAACGCCUGGGGGAUGUGCAUCUAGGUAUCUACGGUUUGUUUUAUGACGGAGCGGAGGAAGAAGAAAGAAUGUCCCGACUAUUUCAACGACCUGUUAUACGUAUUAGCAACCAGUGUUACUAGAUAAAAAUAGGUUCGGAUAACGACCUCAUUUCACGAUAUUCGGGAAUAUGGAUAAAAUAGUUUUCCCCGUGUACUUUCCUGUUAUACUGGAAGUUUAAACGCAUUAUUAAUAUUGUAAGUAUAUAUCUUUUUGUUGAAAUUUCUAUUGUAGAAUAUAGUGUUUUAAAUUGUUAUUGAGUUAUAAAUGAUACCAUAUACAAAAUAUAUUGUAUAAUAACCUGAACAACUGUGUAAACUAACGAGGAUUAUGUUUAGUAAAUUCGGUUAAAUUCUAAGAUUAAAUAGAAAUUUUUAAGGGAAUUCACGAUUAUGCUCUAUUUUGAUAAGAAGGUGCCAUAAUUUGUGAUUUAUUUGCUUGUAAAUGGUCUGUUGAUGCAAUUUCAAAUUUUG